CCCCUAGUGACCGUCCUUCCCGGCAAGUUGGACAUGAUGUAUGCCUUCUCGCUAUCUCCUUCGCAAGGGAACCUGACUGAAAGAUACCAAUGCACAGCUACACUAAUUUUCAUCUCGGAUAAUCAACACUCGUGCUAUCGAGCUUGCAGAGUUUGUAACUCGAAAAUGAUUCCAGGCCCAGAUGGAUACCAGUGCACAAAAGUUAGUGGUUGCCCAUGCACGCAAUUUGAUUGGAAGUAAGAUUACUUCAAGUAAAUUAUGUUUGUUUGUACAUAGGCCAUCUUAGAUUUAAUAUUAUGACCACCUUC